GAUGAAAAACGUAGCGAAAUGCGAUAAGUAAUGUGAAUUGCAGAAUUCAGUGAAUCAUCGAAUCUUUGAACGCACAUUGCGCCCGUCAGUAUUCUGGCGGGCAUGCCUGUUCGAGCGUCAUUACGCCCCUCAAGUCCCCUGUGGACUUGGUGUUGGGGAUCGGCGAGGCUGGUUUUCCAGCACAGCCGUCCCUUAAAUUAAUUGGCGGUCUCGCCGUGGCCCUCCUCUGCGCAGUAGUAAAACACUCGCAACAGGAGCCCGGCGCGGUCCACUGCCGUAAAACCCCCCAACUUUUUAUAGUUGACCUCGAAUCAGGUAGGACUACCCGCUGAACUUAAGCAUAUCAAUAAGCGGAGGA
rnacentral:misc_RNA from 1 species